GACGAACGCUGGCGGCGUGCUUAACACAUGCAAGUCGAACGGAAAGGCCCCCUUGUGGGGUACUCGAGUGGCGAACGGGUGAGUAACACGUGAGUAACCUACCCUUGACUUUGGGAUAACUUCAGGAAACUGGGGCUAAUACCGGAUAGGAGCUCCUGCUGCAUGGUGGGGGUUGGAAAGUUUCGGCGGUUGGGGAUGGACUCGCGGCUUAUCAGCUUGUUGGUGGGGUAGUGGCUCACCAAGGCUUUGACGGGUAGCCGGCCUGAGAGGGUGACCGGCCACAUUGGGACUGAGAUACGGCCCAGACUCCUACGGGAGGCAGCAGUGGGGAAUAUUGCACAAUGGGCGGAAGCCUGAUGCAGCAACGCCGCGUGCGGGAUGACGGCCUUCGGGUUGUAAACCGCUUUCGCCUGUGACGAAGCGUGUGUGACGGUAAUGGGUAAAGAAGCACCGGCUAACUACGUG
rnacentral:rRNA from 1 species